GAAUUCGCCCUUAGAGUUUGCUUUGGCUCAGGACGAACGCUGGCGGCGUGCCUAACACAUGCAAGUCGAGCGGGGAAUUAACAAUGAAGUUUUCGGAUGGAUUUGUUAAUUUCUAGCGGCGGACGGGUGAGUAACGCGUGAGCAACCUGCCUAUCACAGGGGAAUAACGCAUCGAAAGGUGUGCUAAUACCGCAUAAUGCUAUUGAGCGGCAUCGCUUGAUAGCCAAAGAUUUAUUGCUGAAAGAUGGCCUCGCGUCUGAUUAGCUAGUUGGUGGGGUAACGGCCCACCAAGGCGACGAUCAGUAGCCGGACUGAGGGGUUGACCGGCCACAUUGGGACUGAGAUACGGCCCAGACUCCUACGGGAGGCAGCAGUGGGGAAUAUUGGGCAAUGGGCGAAAGCCUGACCCAGCAACGCCGCGUGAAGGAAGAAGGCCUUCGGGUUGUAAACUUCUUUUACCAGGGACGAACACAAUGACGGUACCUGGAGAAAAAGCAACGGCUAACUACGUGCCAGCAGCCGCGGUAAUACGUAGGUUGCAAGCGUUGUCCGGAAUUACUGGGUGUAAAGGGCGCGUAGGCGGAGAUGCAAGUCAGGAGUGAAAUCCAUGGGCUCAACCCAUGAACUGCUCUUGAAACUGUAUCCCUUGAGUAUCGGAGAGGCAAGCGGAAUUCCUAGUGUAGCGGUGAAAUGCGUAGAUAUUAGGAGGAACACCAGUGGCGAAGGCGGCUUGCUGGACGACAACUGACGCUGAGGCGCGAAAGCGUGGGGAGCAAACAGGAUUAGAUACCCUGGUAGUCCACGCCGUAAACGA
rnacentral:rRNA from 1 species